GCACUACUGAAGAGUUCCACAAUAGGACGAAACGGCCGUUCAGUUC
rnacentral:hammerhead_ribozyme from 1 species